rnacentral:rRNA from 1 species
GACGAACGCUGGCGGCGUGCUUAACACAUGCAAGUCGAACGGAAAGGCCCUGCUUUUGUGGGGUGCUCGAGUGGCGAACGGGUGAGUAACACGUGAGUAACCUGCCCUUGACUUUGGGAUAACUUCAGGAAACUGGGGCUAAUACCGGAUAGGAGCUCCUGCUGCAUGGUGGGGGUUGGAAAGUUUCGGCGGUUGGGGAUGGACUCGCGGCUUAUCAGUUGUUGGUGGGGUAGUGGCUUACCAAGGCUUUGACGGGUAGCCGGCCUGAGAGGGUGACCGGCCACAUUGGGACUGAGAUACGGCCCAGACUCCUACGGGAGGCAGCAGUGGGGAAUAUUGCACAAUGGGCGGAAGCCUGAUGCAGCAACGCCGCGUGCGGGAUGACGGCCUUCGGGUUGUAAACCGCUUUCGCCUGUGACGAAGCGUGAGUGACGGUAAUGGGUAAAGAAGCACCGGCUAACUACGUG